GUCGAGCGAACAGAAAAGGAGCUUGCUCCUUUGACGUUAGCGGCGGACGGGUGAGUAACACGUGGGCAACCUACCCUAUAGUUUGGGAUAACUCCGGGAAACCGGGGCUAAUACCGAAUAAUCUCUUUUGCUUCAUGGUGAAAGACUGAAAGACGGUUUCGGCUGUCGCUAUAGGAUGGGCCCGCGGCGCAUUAGCUAGUUGGUGAGGUAACGGCUCACCAAGGCGACGAUGCGUAGCCGACCUGAGAGGGUGAUCGGCCACACUGGGACUGAAACACGGCCCAGACUCCUACGGGAGGCAGCAGUAGGGAAUCUUCCACAAUGGGCGAAAGCCUGAUGGAGCAACGCCGCGUGAGUGAAGAAGGUUUUCGGAUCGUAAAACUCUGUUGUAAGGGAAGAACAA
rnacentral:rRNA from 1 species